rnacentral:rRNA from 1 species
GUAAAGAGAGCGUAGGCGGGAGAGUAAGUUAGGAGUGAAAUGCAUGGGCUUAACCCAUGGUCCGCUCUUAAUACUGCUUUCCUUGAGUGUAGGAGGGGAAAGCGGAAUUCCGGGUGUUAGCGGUGGAAUGCGUAGAUAUCCGGAAGAAUAUCAAUGGCGAAGGCUGCUUUCUGGCCUAUNACUGACGCUGAGGCUCUAAAGCUAGGGGAGCGAACAGGAUUAGAUACCCUGGUAGUCCUAGCCGUAAACGUUGGGCACUGGAUGUUGGAGGGUUUCCCUUCAGUGUCGUAGCUAACGCGAUAAGUGCCCCGCCUGGGGAGUACGCCCGCAAGGGUGAAACUCAAAGGAAUUGACGGGGGCCCGCACAAGCGGUGGAGCAUGUGCUUUAAUUCGAUGAUACGCGAGGAACCUUACCUGGGUUUGACAUGGGAGUGAAAGCCGCCAGAGAUGGUGGCCCUUCUCUUCGGAGAACGCUCCACACAGGUGCUGCAUGGUUGUCGUCAGCUCGUGUCGUGAGAUGUUGGGUUAAGUCCCAUAACGAGCGCAACCCUUGCCCUUAGUUGCCAGCGGUUCGGCCGGGCACUCUAAGGGGACUGCCUGGUAUUUCCAGGAGGAAGGGGAGGAUGACGUCAAAUCAUCAUGGCCCUUAAGCCCAGGGCUAGACACGUGCUACAAUGGCCGGUACAAAGGGAUGCAAUGCCGCGAGGCUGAGCAAAUCCCUAAAACCGGUCUCAGUUCGGAUUGGAGUCUGCAAUUCGACUCCAUGAAGUUGGAAUCGCUAGUAAUCGCGGAUCAGAAUGUCGCGGUGAAUAUGUUCCCGGGCCUCGUACACACCGCCCGUCAAGCCACGAAAGAGGACAA